AACGAACGCUGGCGGCAUGCCUAACACAUGCAAGUCGAACGAGACCUUCGGGUCUAGUGGCGCACGGGUGCGUAACGCGUGGGAACCUGCCCUUAGGUUCGGAAUAACUCCCCGAAAGGGGUGCGAAUACCGGAUAAUGUCUUCGGACCAAUGAGUUAUGGCCUUUGGAUGGGCCCGCGUUGGAUUAGCUAGUUGGUAGGGUAAAAGCCUACCAAGGCGACGAGCCAUAGCUGGUCUGAGAGGAUGACCAGCCACACUGGGACUGCGACACGGCCCAGACUGCUACGGGGGGCAGCAGUAGGGAAUAUUGGGCAAUGAGCGAUAGCCUGAUCCAGCAAUGCCGCGUGAGUGAUGAAGGCCUUAGGGUUGUAAAGCUCUUUUACCAGAGAUGAUAAUGACAGUACCGGGAGAAUAAGCUCCGGCUAACUCCGUG
rnacentral:rRNA from 1 species